ensembl:lncRNA
AAUAGCGGUAGUGCUCAAAUUUUGGUGAGCAUAAGAAUCAACUGUGAGCUCAUUAAAAACUUAGAUUCCUAGAUUCAGCUCAGCAGUUACGUCUUUCAGGCACUCUUCCCUCAUUUCUGAAGUCUCUCCUUUGUGUUGCCAAAUUAUCCCGGGAAAACUGAAAACAGGGAAACUUGUCUGUCUUCCCACAUUUGUCUUUAGAGCACCAUCCCUGGCUGACAACAGGCUCAACAGAUCCAUUUGCACUAAGAUGUGUUGGACUCACUCUCCAAGUUUACUAAGCCCCCAGGUAUGCAGUUGUAUGUUUUUAGUUAUGGGUCCUUCUAGUUGUGGCAUGUGGGAUGCCGCCUCAAUAUGAUGAGCGGUGCCAUGUCUGCGCCCAGGAUUCCAACUGGCAAAACCCUGGGCUGCCCAAGCGGAGUGUGCAAACUGAACCACUGGACCACGGGGCUGGGCCUGGGAGAUGAUUUCUAAAUCUUCAACUUUCCUAUGCAUCCAUCUUGCCUACGCGUGGGCCUGUCUGCUGACCAUCACUUCUCAAUUCCAUUUCUGACAAUUCACAAAAGAAAGUUGAAUCGUUCGCCCAUGUUGAACGUCACCUCAGUGCACAGUCCUGGAGUGUGAGAACCUGCAGAGAGCAUUGAAACGAGGAAGGGACAAAUGGAGAAUGUGGGGCUCCUGAGAGAGUGUGUUUUCUGAGAGCAAGCAAAGGGAGGGUUGGAAAUAAAUACUGAAGGCUCAUAGCAAGAUCGUCUAGUCUUUCUUUUUAGAAUUAAAAUUAAGAGAGAGAGAGAGUUGUUAGGGGGACACUCUUAUUUGAACUGAAAAAUGAAAUCAGAUUUUUUCCCUGAAAAUAGGUUUGGUUUGGCUAAUGGGAUUUUAUGAUUAAAGUCAGCUUUAUUAACUUACGUGAUGGAUUUUUUUCUCUCUCUCUUUUUUUUUUCUUUUUGAGCUCUAAGGUCUUGGUGAAAAGACACUUAAAGCAUUUUAAAAAAUAAGUGCAUUUUUAAAAUCAACAAGAUUCUAUUGGCUAAGGUGUAUUGAAAUUAACAAUAUUUCCAUUUUCUCAACUUGUUCUGAGAAUAAACAAGGUGCCUAAGUGGCAGAGUAACAGGUCUAAUUAUUGUGAGUUGUUCCAUAAGACUCGGUAAAGCUUUUUUGGUGUAUUUCCCAGAAACUAGAAAAAUGAAUGACUCUAAUGACUGCGUAAGAAACCCUUUUAUAAAUCAGGUAGUUUCCAAUUCUGUGCUUUCAUCACCACUGAAGGAGACCUAAUCGAAUUGUCAGCUGAGUGAUCAUUAGAUGUAAUUUUUGAUGAUAGAUCCCCACGUCACUUCAAAGGAGUUCAGAGAACUGAGGGAUGCUGCUAUCACACAGCUCCUUCCACUCCCUCCUACGUAGUGAUGUCAACAAGAUUUCUCAGUGCAUACGACUAUAAAACAAAGAGCAAAAAUUGACUUGAUGCCCGAAUAGUCACAUAUUAAAGCGAUAAACAAUAUUCAUCCAUGGACACAAGAAAACUGGAGGAAAAAAAGACACUUCCACCUAUUUCAUUAGAGACGCUCUCCCCAUGGAUUUUGUUUUUUAUCUUUUAUGUCUAAUAAUUAUUUAUCAAUAUUUGUACUGUAUUUAUGAUGUUUUGCUUAAUUGUGCACUAACAAUAAAUGUAAUAUUAGCUCAAUCCAGAAUAAUUUUAUUAAACUAUUAGGGCAUUCUGGUGACAUAAAAUAAAAAUAAACUUCAAUUUUACAUAUAUUUGGUGCAGAUGUGUUUGACAGGGUGAUAAAGACUUUUAAGCAUAAAAUAUGUUAUACUAGGAAAGAGUUAUGUAGCAGAAGUUGAAUGGAAACAUAAGUUUAAGGAGAAAAAGCAUGAUGUAAGAUUUUGUUGUUGUUAGUGCUGUUGAGUCCGACUCCUAGAGAGUGUGUGUCCGGAAGAGUGGAAUGCUGGCCCGUCUUUCUGUGCCAUCCUCUCCCGCUCUGGUGCUAUAUCAGACAAUGCUGCUAUUCAUAGGGUCUUCAUGGCCAAAUUUUUCGCAAGUGGGUGACCGGGUCCUUCUUCCUCGUCUGUCUUCGUCUGGAAGCUCUGCUAACACCUGUCCACCAUGGGGGACCUUGCUGGUAUUUGAGCAGCAUAGCUUUCAGCAUCGCAGCCGCACAAACCCACCACAGUAUGACAACCGACAGAAGGGUGACGUGGUUCACUAUCUGGGAAACGAUCACGGACUCUUAACAGCCAAACCACAGGGCUGAUGUAAAAUUACCUUCUGUUAAAUAAGAGCUUGUUGAAUAUUUCCUAAAGGGGUGGUGGUAGAUUUAAAUUGCUAUUGCAUUUAAAUUCUGUUAGAUACAUUUAAAAGAAUGAUUAAAUUGUUUU